AACCCGCUCCCGGCGCACCUGCACUGCCCCGCCCCCCGAGACGCUGCCCACCUGUCCUUUGUGCAGGGCGGUACCAUUAGAUCUUGCCAGCUCUCCUUCAGGGAGCGCCCGCUAUGUGCCAGGCGCCGUGCCAAGCCUGAUCUCCCGUAAUCCUCACAGACCCUCCGCGGUCAGCGCUUCUGCUGCUCCCCGCCCAGGGCGCAGCGGGGUGUGGCCGUUUGCCCAGGGUCACGCAGACUUGAACCCCCCAUCCCUGUGCCCAUUUAACAACCAAGAUACAGCGCCUCCCACCGCGUCCACAUCCACAUCUGCUGUGACUCCGGGGCCUCCUAACCGUCCUGGGAGGCAAAACAGUCACACUGGUGGCUGGCGUCGCGGUGCACCUACUGUGUGCCAAGCACUCAUGGCCUCAGUUCACUUUCGCAACAGCAACGAGAGAUCUGUUGCCCCAGGGUGAGGAAGCGAAGGCACAGAAGAGCUGAAGCAAUUUGCCCACAGUCACAAGUAGGUGCUCGACAACUAUUUCAAAACUAAAGGACUAAGCAAGUGGCCUCACAGCUACUGAGGACGGAGUCUGGAACCGAACGCAGGGCACUCUGAAGCUGGAGCUCACUUCUAUGCUACUGCCUUUCUCAUGCUACUAGCAGGCACUGAAUGUGUCAGUGAGUGAAUGAAUGAAUGAAACCAAGAUCUCAGGAUCCCAGUCAAGUGCUCCCUGAGCUUCAUUUCCUGGUAGCGUGGACAUGAGCCAAGCUCCAGCCACCUUGGAUGGUGACGGGGCUGAUGGGCCGCCUGAAGCCGGCUGUCAGGAGCUCGUCUGGCCACAGCCGCCAGCAGGGGAGACCAGCUGGCGAUGCAGGGUCCAUCGGCCCAGGCCUGGAAUCUGAGCUGCCCUCAGAGGCCCAGCUUCUCUUUGGGCCCCCACAAACUGGCCUUUGUUCCCGGGCCGGCCAAGACCCAGCAGCUUGGGCUUUCUGUCUGCCCGCGGCACCCGCGCUGAGCUGGCGGGGGUAAAUGGGCCAGCCUCUGCUCUGUCCAUGCCCAGGACGUCGCUUUAGGACUAAAUGGAGAUGUAAUUUUCUAUACAAAUCCAUGACAAUUUAGAUGGAGUGAUUGUAAUUGGCUUUUCAAUGGGGGUUUUGUCCAGAGCUGGUGGCUAGAACUGGGUGGCCUGUUUGAGGCAGGCUCCAUUUCAAUGACAAUAAAGCAAUAAUAUUGAGGACUCUACAGUGCCCAGCACUCCUCCCAGCCCAA